GCGCCCGUAGCUCAGCUGGAUAGAGCAUCUGACUACGAAUCAGAAGGCCGGAGGUUCGAAUCCUUCCGGGCGCG
rfam:Thalassospira sp. TSL5-1 contig0001, whole genome shotgun sequence.